AAAUGGAGACCCAAACGGAGCCCUAUCGGAAUUCCGAUCGGUUGAAAUCGAAGAUCUCGAAGAGAUGAACAACUUUCGUGUUUUGGCCGAAGGUCGGAUGUCGCCGGAAAGUGGCCGGAAUCGUCGUUUAUCGUCGGAGCUCCUUUGAGUUUUUUCCUCUCUGUGAAAGAACAGAGAAGGAACCGAGAGCAAAAGGAAAAAAAGAAAGAAAGGGAAAGUGAAGGAAUGGGAAAAGUCACGUGGGUGUUGGCUGGAAAAAGGAAGUGUAUUUGAG
rnacentral:lncRNA from 1 species